UCACGGUUUGCACCGGCAGUCUCGUUAGAGUUCCCGACAUGACUCGCUGGCAACUAACGACAGGGGUUGCGCUCGUUAUAGGACUUAACCUGACACCUCACGGCACGAGCUGACGACAACCAUGCAGCACCUUGUGAUCUGCCCGAAGGAAAAACCGUUUCCGGUCCUGUCAGACCACAUUUAAGCCCUGGUAAGGUUCCUCGCGUAUCAUCGAAUUAAACCACAUGCUCCACCGCUUGUGCGGGCCCCCGUCAAUUCCUUUGAGUUUCAUUCUUGCGAACGUACUCCCCAGGUGGGAUACUUAUCACUUUCGCUUAGCCACUCAGGUUGCCCCGAACAGCUAGUAUCCAUCGUUUACGGCGUGGACUAC
rnacentral:misc_RNA from 1 species